AUUGAACGCUGGCGGCAGGCCUAACACAUGCAAGUCGAACGAGUGGCGGACGGGUGAGUAAUGUCUGGGAAACUGCCCGAUGGAGGGGGAUAACUACUGGAAACGGUAGCUAAUACCGCAUACCAUCGGAUGUGCCCAGAUGGGAUUAGCUAGUAGGUGGGGUAACGGCUCACCUAGGCGCAGAUCCCUAGCUGGUCUGAGAGGAUGACCAGACAAACUGGGAAUGGAACACGGGUCAGACUCCUAAGGGAAGGAGCAAUGGGGAAUAUUGCCAAAUGGGGGGAAACCUGAUGGAGCCAUGGCGGGGGGUAGGAGAAGGCCGUCGGGGUGGAAAGCUCGUUCAGCGGGACGGCGGUACCCGAAGAGGAAGCAACGGCUAACUACGUGCCAGCAGCCGCGGUAAUAC
rnacentral:rRNA from 1 species